rnacentral:lncRNA from 1 species
CAGCUAACAACUCGUUAACAACUUUGAACUUGUUCAGAGUUAGAAACAAUGACACACCCACAUGCUCUUUCAGCACCUUUCAAUAACCUGCCUAUUUCAACACUUAGUAGCUUCAGUUCAGAUUAUUAGCUUUUACCUUUUUUUUUACUUUUAGCAAGGUAAUUGGAAAGGUGAAAUUGAUAGAAAGUUAUACAAUUCAGUGGUAUUAAUAUUCCUGCAUUGACUCUAGGAGUCAUAGUCCGACUUGUUUUUCUCAUAGACAUUUGGUUAUAAAUCCAAAUGAAUGUCUUUUAAUCAGUCCUGGAAGAGAAAUAUCUCAUCACAACCUGUUAAGAGCUAUUUGUGAAAAUUGUAAUGAAACGUUUAAGGAAAAAGGAAGAGACGUACAAUACCAAGAUUCUCAUGAAAAUGUGUCUAGUCUAUUGAUGAACCCAAAUUCCAAGUUUGAGUUUUGAAACAAAAUUUCCAUGGCAUUUAAGCUAAUCUGCAAUGAAAGAAAGUGAAAGUGAAAGUCGCUCAGGACUGUCUGACUCUUGUGAACGCAUGGACUGUAGAGUUCAUGGAUUCUCCAGGCCAGAAUGCUGGAGUGGGUAGUCGUUCCCUUCUCCAGGGGAUCUACAGUCCAUGGAAUUCUGCAGACCAGAAUCCUAGAGUGCAUAGCCUUUUCAUUCUCCAGGGAAUCUUCCCAACCAGGGAUCGAACUGAGAUCUCCCACUUUGCAGCCUGAUUCUUUACCAGCUGAGCCACAAAGGAAGCCCAAGAAUAGAGAAGUGGGUAUCCAAUCCCUUCUCCCACACUUUGUGACCACAUGGACGAUACAGUCCAUGGACGAUACAGUCCAUGGACUUGUCCAGGCCAGAAUACUGGAGUGGGUAGCCAUUCCUUCUCUAGGCGUCUUCCCAACCCAGAUAUCCAUCCCAGAUCUCCCACAUUGCAAGCCAAUUCUUUACCAGCUGAGCCACAAGGGAAGCCCGAGAAUACUGGAGUGGGUAGUUUGUCCCUUCUCCCAAUCUAUGCGACCACAUAGGCCAGAGUACAGGAGUGAGUAGCCUUUCCCUUCUCCAGAGAUUCUUCCCAACCCCAGUAUCGAACCCAAAUCUCCCACAGUUCAGGCGGUUCUUUAGUUGCUGAGCCAUAAGGGAAGCCCAAGAAUACUGGAGUGGGUAGCUUAUCCCUCUCCAGUGGAUUUUUCCCCCACCCAGCAAUCGAACCAUGCUCUCCUGCAUUGCAGCCAGAUUCUUCACCAGUGGAGCUAUCAGGAAAACCCCUUACAUGAAUAGCUUUUUUUGCUCUACACCAAAUACAAAAUGCUCUCAUUUCCAAAUCCCUGAAAAACUCUUUGUAGUGACAUCAAAUAAAUAAGAGUCAUUUUAGUUUCUUUUACAGAAAAGAAAGUCAAAUUUAUUUAAUUAAAAACUAGAAUUAAAAAUUAGCAAAUGCAUAAACACACACUCAAAAAUACACACACAAGAGCACUAUGUAUUGACUCACAGAGGGGAAAUGCAGUGGUCCAAGACCACUCAAUAUGGCUUGUCAGUUAUAGGAGAAGAAAUCCAAGCAUGUGCGUGUGCGUGCACACACACACACACACACACACACACACCAGAUCAGGCACACAAAAAAGAACCCAGUAUUUUUCAACAGUACAUUCAAUUUACCAUAAACAAAACUUCAGAAUUAGUUUUCAAAGGUUCCUAUUUUAAUUCCAAAGAUGCCCAUCUCGGGUAUAAAUAUACCUAUAUUUUCUAGUGGUUUACUGUUGGCUUAUUUUAAAUCUAUUAGUGUUAUUACAUGCAACUAUUUCCUAUAUUUAACACCCUUUCAUCUUCUGUAGCUUAAUGUCUCUAGCUUCAACCUACCCAAAGUUUCUGGUUGGUAGGAAGACAGGUGUCUUAUUCUCUGUGAAACUGAAUGUAUUGGUUUUAAACACUCGUCAGAAAAUGUUUGAUCACCAUUUCAAGUCAUGGAAAUAGUUACAUUGAUGCUUAAAUCGCCGUUUUCUGCGAAAAGUUCCGCAACUCUGGGGUGGAAGACUAGGCAGUCACAGUUCAGAAACGCUGUUUCAAUUCGCUCAUGAAUAGAUAGAGGCGUGGCUUCCCACAUCAAUCGCCGCCUGGUACCAUUUAGCUCAAGUCGAUAAGUAAAAUGUUCAGCUUGCUCGCGUGUUCCUAUCAGCUGGACAGCGGCAAAGAAUUUCCGGUAACCGGCAUGGAUUUCCAGUUUCUCCAAAAUUAGUAAGAACUGAGACCCAAAACAGGACUGCACCAUCACCCAGUCAAGGGUACCAGCCAGAUUAAUGUUGACUGCAAGGAAAACGACAACUUCUCCCUCUAGGGUUAUAACGGAGUUGUUAUAGUGCUGCAUCACAUGUGGUACAACGGCAUCCAUGGCGCCUUGCCACUCACAGGAAGCGCCAGGGCAAGGGCAACGACAGGGCCUAAACUCACAUUGUUCUUCGUGGUCUACUUUUUCUGUGGG